ACACGGAUCGGCAUUGUACCUCUCACGCUGGAGGACGCAGGUGUAGACCUGGCACAGGAGAAAGCGGUCCUUGCCGCCAGAGGGGGGCAUCCACAAGAGAAGCGUCGCACUGCCACGCACACAAGCACACACGUAACAUCACUGCGCCACGUCAAUGCACACACGCAGGAGCGGAGGGCAACCGCUACCACUACCUCGUCCUCUCCCUCCUCUGUUGGGUGGUCACUUCGUCCAGCAAUCGUAAGCGGCGCGCGCUCGCUCGCGAUAGAAUUCCAAGGAGACGCAUACAUUCAUAGAAGAGAGGGGCAGAUUUGGUUUCCAUUGGCAACGCACACCUGCUCGUGCUUCAGCUGCACGCUCUCCUUCCUCUCCCCAAGUCUCACUAGGUGUACUGCGGGCAACCACUGUGUCCACGAGGCGCACCGUCAGCCUUCCAGCUGCGGUGCGCACAGCGGCUUCUCACCGCAUUAUACGAUAGAGUGACGCUGACGAGUUGCUUCUGCUGCGCGCCUUGGUAGUCGAACGGGCCUGUAUCAAGGAAGCGGUUCAACGCCACCGGGCGCACAGCCUCCUUCCCUCCCUGCUCUCCUCACGUUGGCAUAAUGCUGCGGCCCACCCUUGCCAAGUGGCUGGAGCGCAAAGGCGUGCGACCCAUCGUGGAGAGACUCGCGCGAAGCACGCUGCGAGGACCAUCGGUCAGCCACAGCGCCUCCCACGUGGCUGCAGGCUCUGUUUCAUCGUCAUUGUACCACACCGGUGACGUCGACGACAUCGACGCGGCGGAGUCGCUGGAUAUGAUGGACGGCAUUCCGAACGAGCCCUGUGGCCUCCCUGCCUCCGCCGCGCCGCGACGCAAUGCUCACCCGCCGGAGCCGCGAGCACGCGCUGCCAACAGCUACAGCUGGUCAUCCGGUGCUGACUCCGCAGGUGCAGGCAGCGGCACGGUAGACCACCGCGAUAGACCAAGUCAAGAUGAGAGAUCAGCCAGUCCUGCGCGACGCGUCAUCACGGUAGCACGGCGGCACCACAGCCCACCUGCCGAGGCUUCUUCUGUCUCCCGCCACGCGCACGCACCCGUUACCCAUGCACCGCUGUCUAGCUCCCCUCGAGAGGCUCAAGUCACGGAUCACGCCAAGGGCGCGCCGCACCGCGACAAGCCUGGACACACCGCUGCUCCUGUGAACCCUUCGGAUGUCAAUGUCGGUGGCAGCGGUACCAUUGCGGAAACCGGCGAGUCUGCCGGGAGCGCGGCCACGAAAGCCAAGUCCUCCGACGCCUACCGCUUUCUCUUGCAUCACAUCGACGCCGAGAUCGCCGCGCUGCAGCGUCGCCACGCCUCCGUAACGACACGGCGCCAGUCUGUCCAGACGCGCCAGACGCAGCGUAUCAAGGAGCUGUUUGAAGUGAUGGAGAACCCGUGGACGUUGUUGCCGACAGAGGUGCAGCCCGCGCUGCCCGCUACCGGGGUGGAUGUGUACAUCAAGGAGCAGCAGAUAGCGCGCCAGCAACAGAACCACACUCACCCGAUACCGGAGGGCCAGGACAAGAUGUACGUACUGGCGCUGCACAAGAACUACAAGUCCAUGCCGGCGGGCCGCAAGCGGUUCUACGAGGAGGCGGCACACUACAACGCUGCCGUGCGAGAAGAGCUCAAGUACCUGCUCACUCGCGGCUGCUCCCGAUUCGAGGCAUUCCUCGACACUAUCAAGGAGUGCACAAUGGAGAUGGCGCGGGAGGGGCAGGUGCCGGAGCUGCCCACCACGCACGCACAAAACCGCUUUCACGCAGCGCGCGGCGGUGUGUCGAACUACCGUCAUGCCAACACACCUAGGGCCUUGCCAGCUGGCGGCGACGCCGGCACCACGCGAAGUCGUAAGUCGCACCAGCAUGCACAGCCUCAACAAGUCGUCGCGGCGCAAGAGACGUCUGCCAGAGCUGAAGCAGAAGCGGAGGAGGGGGACACCACCGCUGAGUGGGUGGACGAGGGCGACACUGCCGAGGACACCGCCAAGGCGGCGGCGCGUGGGGCUAGGCACGGCUCGGUGGGGCGCAAGAGAGGACGCAAAGCAUCGCAGCGCAUCCAGAGUGCAGCGAAGAGGGCGCAUGCCAAAUCCGCUGCUGCCGCGGCGGGAGUGCAUUCCUCUGCGAGGGUGCCCAAGCGACGGCAGGGUUCUCAGACAUCGGCGACGAGGCAGCCCGACGCCAGGCCGAUGCGAAGCGGUGGGGGCCGCAGCGGAGCCGGUGCCGGUGCUCAUUCCAAAAGCGAUCGUAAAAAGACGGUGAGACAGGCAGGCCGCGGCACUGGUGUGUCGCGCUCCAUCCCACUGCCCAACCUCGACCACCUCGCCGUCAAGAAGAUCAAGCGGAUGCUCACCUCGCCGUCCAGCUCUGGUGGUGCAGCAAAGAAGGCGGCAAAGGCGAAGAGGGCGUCGCCAUCGAGGAAGCCGGCUGCUGGCGGCACGAAGAAGAAAAGGUAGACGAACCGCCACCGCAAAGGAGGAAGAGGGGUGGUGGUUGGGGGGGGGGGUCGUCGUCCAUGUUUCCGCCCCCGGAUGGGCCGUGCGAAUAGAAGUGUCACCACUAAUCCCAAGUAGGUGUGUCCGCUGUUGUUGUUGGCGUGCGCGUCUCUCUCUUUCCUCACUGAGGAUGCGUGUGUGAGGAGAUGGGGGAGCGUGCCGGGGACGUCUGUGUUGAUGAGUGUCAGUUGGUGCCAUUGUGGUGUUACGGAUGUCGAUGAAACCCUCCCACCAACCCACCACCGGCCCUCUUUGUAGAGCUGAAGACGUGGUGCACCUUUCCCUUAUGCUUCUGUCGCCUCUCUCCUCAAUGACUGCCUGCGUAUGCGUGCGCAGGUAUCUGUGUCGCUUCUCGAUGAUCAGCACCGCCCCUCCCCGACUCGGUGGACGGCGUGCCAUCGACUUGAUUUGUCGUUGAUGCUCAUAGAAGGUGCUUGAAUUUGGCGUGCGCGCGUGCGCACGAAGAGACCCACAGUUGUGGACGAGGCGUACCUACCUGGCAUCCAUCCCGGACUCUUUUGUUCCUCUUCCCUUCGUGCGUGCUUUCGUGCUAG
rnacentral:misc_RNA from 1 species